rnacentral:lncRNA from 1 species
ACUUAUUAGUCUGAACAGAUGUUGAUUACUGGCCACCAGAGGUAAAGCAUCCCAAGUUCAAUGGGGGGAGAUGGGCUCAGAGUUUGCUGUGAUCCACAGGUAAAAUAAGGAACUCUGAUCUUAUCACAUUUGUUGUGUGUUUUUGCUUAGCAUUUAAGUUCAAGACUUUUAUGGGUAUAGCCACUUAAUGUCAUUGCGUCACUUAAUGUAAUGGGUGUGAUGAUACAUGUAUGUGUCAUCUUUGGACAUCUUUGGACAUCAGGAUACUGGGACCAUCACCCUUUUGAAUCCUGGCCCCACCUGUUUAUUAUUCCAAGUUGCCCCCGAUUCACCCCUGAGUUUCUUGACAUAUUUGCAUCAUGACCUCCAGUCAUUAGCUUUAAGCCUUGCUAGUUGAUUCAUUUUCUUUCAUUCAUUUAUUUGUUCAUUCAGCAAAUAUUUUCAAGUGCUUGCGAUGCCUGGUGUUUUGCUGUUUUUCUUGUAUUUUUUUAAAGAUAGUCUUUAAAACUCACAGUCUAAACAAAUACGAGACAAAACAUGGAAGGCAAUAAGCUGCAAUUAAAGAUUUUGUUUUUAGAAAUGGUCAUUAGGUUUAAAAAUAGGCACAGGGUCAGUUUUUCACCAAGCCAAUGCAGGAUAAAAGGCUAAUCUCACUUGUAAUUCUUAGAAGCUCUCUCACUGAUGGUUUAGUUACUUAAUCUCCUUGGUGUUUACUGUGUCGUUCCUUAGGGGUGAAGAAUGGGAGAUGAACGGGAAUGCUUCGUCUAAAGCACAGAAGAGUUGCUGGAAAUUUUAAGACUCACCAGUCAGGCAACAUCAUCUAUCAAAAAGUUCUCAUAGAAUGUAACAAAUAAUCAUGGAACCUACUCAAAUAAUGCAGAACCUUUGUCCAUAGCUUCAGGCCUCCAGUGCUUUCCUUCUCUCUUUGGAUGUGAAAUGCACAAGGCAGGUUGGACUCUGUUUACUGAUCUGUUGCAAAGGUAUCGGGCUUUUAGAAUAAAUGGUUGACCAUGACAAUGAAAAGAUGAGAAUGUAGGGAGGUUGGGCUUACUUUUCUCCUGCUGAAAGUUGAUUCCGGGUAGCAUCUAAACUUCACAAGCUGAAAAUUCCAAUAAAUCCACAAAAAGAAUUCCCCUAGGGAAGGGGGUGUGGACUUUAAUUGAUGGAUGUCCAAUUAGAGUUUCCAUUGACAUUGCCAUGUCUCUUGUUUUCUUGAGACAUCUCUUGGUCAACCUCAAGCACAUGUACAAGCCAAUUAGGAAGAAGUAAGUACUGAUGACAAGAAGGAGUGUGAGAUGAGAAACAGUAGCCUUUUCUUUGUCUGUAGCAUCUCAAGUUUUAUACUCUCUGGGAUCUUCUCUCUGAUUAGAAAGUGCUUCUUUUCCACCUGGCAAGGUGGCACACACCUGUAAUCCCAACACUUUGAGAGGCUGUGCUAGGUGGAUCGCUUGAGCCCAGAAGUUUAAGACCAGCCUGGGAAACAUGGCAAAACCCUGUCUCUACAAAAUAAAAUAAAAUAAUGCAAAAAAAGAGAGAGCAACUGCUUCAUUGCUUUUCUAAAACGUUGUUGAGCUAUUUAAAGCCUAUGAUAACGGGGGUUUAUUUGCACUUACUUCCCUUCAUUUUAGUUGAAUUCAAGCUUAUGUCUUCAGAUUUUUAUUGACUUAGUUACCUUAUACUGUUUUUAGUGGAUUGCCGCGAAGUAGGGUUCUGUUGGUUGAGCACAAGGGAAGCAGAGAGCUGGAUGGAGCCAUUAUCUUAGACUUAAGUCAAGCGCUGAUUGAAAUUUCUCUUGUCCCAAACUCCUAGUGGUCCUGCACUCAAGAGAUAGGGAAGGUCGCUGACGAUACUGAGUCUUUUCCACAGUGCCUGCUUCUUUUUAGCAGCCUCAGAUGGAUCCCUGCCCCUAAACUGGGGCUGUUUCUCUCCUUCUCAACCUAAUUGUGUGCCAUGAGGAAAGAAAGAAAGAAAGAAAGAAAGAAAGAAAGAAAGAAAGAAAGAAAGAAAGAAAGAAAGAAAGAAAGAGGGAGGGAGGGAGGGAGGGAGGGAGGGAGGGAAGGAAGGAAAGAAAGAAAGAAGGGAAGGAAGGAAGGAAAGAGAGGAAGGAAGGAAGGAAAGAGAGGAAGGAAGGAAAAGAGAGAAAGAGAGAGAGGAAGGAAGGAAGGAAAGGAAGGGAGGGAGAGAGAGAGAAAGAAAG